rnacentral:lncRNA from 1 species
AGUUUCCCGGCAAGAAAUUCUUCCGUGGAUAUCAUUUCUGCAAAUUACGUGUGUAAUGCAUGUAGGUGUGUCGUGGGCAUCGCGAGUUGGAACGCGACUGCGGUGUUUUGACAGUGGAGCAGAUAUUUGCAUGUGUGAAGAUUAUUUUAUUGAUACAGUUCAGUUUGAAGCCCAGCUUCGCGAGAACCUGUCUGCAUUGUUUCUGUUCUUCGUCGUGUUCGCGUAUUUCUCUUCUAUAUUGCACGGCAAAUAUAGACCGAUGUUACAACAGCGAAAUUUCUUUUUAAUCGAUGCAUGUCAAUAAGGCGCUCGUUUUCAUUAAUAUUUUCAUCUGAAGAACAUGAUGUCAGCUCCUGCGAUUGUUGUCAUAAUAUGUGGGUUGUAGCACUGCGUAAAUAAGGGCUGCGAUUUUGUUGCGAUGCUUUCCGCUCGAUGUUUGCCUCUCUUGUAACCCACCGUCCACGGCUGGCUGUACUAGUCAAUAACGAUGGCGGAAUGUCAGUCCGACCACUGAGGAAAAGGAGUAGCAUCGGAAAAGGCAUCGCUACAAAAUCGCGGCCUAGGUUUUAGACCGCUCAUAAUCGAUUCUUUUGAUUCACUACGUAUUUAGGUUUUGGUGAUAAUUUCCCAGGUAGUCUGGUGUGAGCUGCUGGUUUUAUUACCGCCUGAAUUUUACAAUAUAACAAUGUAAGCACAUGAGAUAUAACUACGAGACAUCUGUAAAACAGGCACAGAUUUAUGUGUGAGUCUCUUUCUUUCAAUGCCACAUGACACUGUAAAUCACACGUUUGAAGCUUCACAUCACAAUAAAUUAAACCUUUCUUACUGUUGAAGGUUAUGCGGAUUCUGGAGUCAAGCCUACGACCUGUAGGAACCUGCUGCACUGCUACAUAUUGGAUCGCACAACGAUGCACUUGACCUGCAUGCUUUUACAAGGUGCCCUGUGAGCUCUCAUCCAAGCACCGCAUUGCAGAGGUCUGCUGUGAGCAGACGUGGCAAAUUGAAGUAACAUACAGAUAGUCCAAUAAAAUACUCGUAAUUUCAGACAAAC